rnacentral:rRNA from 1 species
UACGUAGGGUGCGAGCGUUGUCCGGAAUUAUUGGGCGUAAAGAGCUCGUAGGCGGCUUGUCGCGUCGACUGUGAAAUCCCGCGGCUCAACCGCGGGUCUGCAGUCGAUACGGGCAGGCUAGAGUUCGGUAGGGGAGACUGGAAUUCCUGGUGUAGCGGUGAAAUGCGCAGAUAUCGGGAGGAACACCAGUGGCGAAGGCGGCUUUCUGGGCCUUACCUGACGCUGAGACGCGAAAGCGUGGGGAGCGAACCGGG